rnacentral:pre_miRNA from 1 species
GAGCUGUUGGAUUCGGGGCCGUAACACUGUCUGAGAGGUUUAUAUUUCUCACAGUGAACCGGUCUCUUUUUCAGCUGCUUC